CGAGCGGACAGAUGGGAGCUUGCUCCCUGAUGUUAGCGGCGGACGGGUGAGUAACACGUGGGUAACCUGCCUGUAAGACUGGGAUAACUCCGGGAAACCGGGGCUAAUACCGGAUGGUUGUUUGAACCGCAUGGUUCAAACAUAAAAGGUGGCUUCGGCUACCACUUACAGAUGGACCCGCGGCGCAUUAGCUAGUUGGUGAGGUAACGGCUCACCAAGGCAACGAUGCGUAGCCGACCUGAGAGGGUGAUCGGCCACACUGGGACUGAGACACGGCCCAGACUCCUACGGGAGGCAGCAGUAGGGAAUCUUCCGCAAUGGACGAAAGUCUGACGGAGCAACGCCGCGUGAGUGAUGAAGGUUUUCGGAUCGUAAAGCUCUGUUGUUAGGGAAGAACAAGUACCGUUCGAAUAGGGCGGUACCUUGACGGUACCUAACCAGAAAGCCACGGCUAACUACGUGCCAGCAGCCGCGGUAAUACGUAGGUGGCAAGCGUUGUCCGGAAUUAUUGGGCGUAAAGGGCUCGCAGGCGGUUUCUUAAGUCUGAUGUGAAAGCCCCCGGCUCAACCGGGGAGGGUCAUUGGAAACUGGGGAACUUGAGUGCAGAAGAGGAGAGUGGAAUUCCACGUGUAGCGGUGAAAUGCGUAGAGAUGUGGAGGAACACCAGUGGCGAAGGCGACUCUCUGGUCUGUAACUGACGCUGAGGAGCGAAAGCGUGGGGAGCGAACAGGAUUAGAUACCCUGGUAGUCCACGCCGUAAACGAUGAGUGCUAAGUGUUAGGGGGUUUCCGCCCCUUAGUGCUGCAGC
rnacentral:rRNA from 1 species